rnacentral:lncRNA from 1 species
AUGGAUGCUCUGAUCAGUGAAGCAAAUUUAGCUAAACUGAUUACAGAGAUGAAAAAGAUCGGACUGCAAAAUCGUCAGUAUGCCAUGGCUGUCAGGCUCACCCAACAGCAGUGCCAGACUGGACAGUUAGAUGUCAGCGUUGAACCACAGGUGGUCCGGGCGGCACUUACUGCCGGCCAUAUCUACAAAGGGGACAAGAACAUCGCAGCCACACCGUAUAAUGCCUACCACACAGAGUAUCUUCUCCUGAGUAUUACUAACGAGCAAAUGGCAUACCCCAUAUUACACCUGACAGAUAACAAUGACUGUAUAAUCUUCUUUACCACAUUCUCUCCCUGCCUAAAGUCCUGUAUGAAAGAAAGAGGAGGCCACAGCAUUAUCAAUGACCUUGAUAGGGUCUUUCGUACUAGAGAUCAAAACUAUAAGGCCUUUAGGUUCCAGAAAGUCUGGCAACCUAUGUGGGCGGGUGAAAACCAAUCCCCCAAGGCAAAAAGUACUAUGCUCCUUUAGUACAAUACAUAAGAAGUUCCCCCUAUAUCACUGUGCACAAAGCAAGGGUUAUUAUUGCAAUGAGGUGAACACAGGUCGCUGUUUGGAGGGCUACAAUGGCUGAGUGCUUUCCUUCAGGUCCAGUUGAGCCAAUGAAGACUCCUGUAUCUGUAGUGCAAAGAGAGGACUGUCAACCUGCCUCUCCCUUCAUCCCUCUCUGUCUCUCACUGUCCCUCUUUGGCCUUUCCUCUGUAUCUCUGUCCCUCAAUGGGAGAAUCUCCAUUGGUUUUGCUCGACUCCUCGCGUCCUCACCUCCGUCCUCUCCUCGCCUCCUUUUGAAAAAGGUCAAAGGUGAUCAAGGAGAGGAGGUGAGGAAAGGGAAAACUGGAAACAAAUGUGCUUGAAUGAAAAGACUCUCCACUAGCACGUCAUCAGGCAAAUUACAUUUACAAUGGAGUAAUCCCCAAAUACAUGUGUUAAUUAUACGCAUGCUUUUCUCAGAGAAAACAACUGAUUCAAAGGGGGUGUGGCGGAUUUUAAAACACUUUCGCGUUAACUGCCGGGAGGAUACAUCUGUGCUUAGGCUAUGGAGGAGAGGAGGAAACUCCUCCGAAUUGAUACUUUCCUGCAUAUGGUGAACAUUUUUUUGGUUUCCGGUUCACAGUGUAGAAGAGGACAGGAGUGGAGGAGAGGAUGGACUUUUUCCCAUUUGAGAAUCCCCUUCCCUAUCAUUCUUUCUCUCUGUCCUUCCCUCCCUCUCCUUCUCUUUCUCCCCCUCUACAUGUCCACCAUUCA